rnacentral:rRNA from 1 species
AACGAACGCUGGCGGCAUGCCUAACACAUGCAAGUCGAACGAGACCUUCGGGUCUAGUGGCGCACGGGUGCGUAACGCGUGGGAACCUGCCCUUAGGUUCGGAAUAACUCCCCGAAAGGGGUGCUAAUACCGGAUAAUGUCUUCGGACCAAAGAUUUAUCGCCUUUGGAUGGGCCGGCGUUGGAUUAGCUAGUUGGUAGGGUAAAAGCCUACCAAGGCGACGAUGCAUAGCUGGUCGGAGAGGAUGAUCAGCCACACUGGGACUGAGACACGGCCCAGACUCCUACGGGAGGCAGCAGUGGGGAAUAUUGGACAAUGGGCGAAAGCCUGAUCCAGCAAUGCCGCGUGAGUGAUGAAGGCCUUAGGGUUGUAAAGCUCUUUUACCCGGGAUGAUAAUGACAGUACCGGGAGAAUAAGCUCCGGCUAACUCCGUG